GCCCUGCACUCUGGGACAAGCCCUGGAAACGGGGUCUAAUACCGGAUACUGACCUGCCAAGGCAUCUUGGCGGGUCGAAAGCUCCGGCGGUGCAGGAUGAGCCCGCGGCCUAUCAGCUUGUUGGUGAGGUAAUGGCUCACCAAGGCGACGACGGGUAGCCGGCCUGAGAGGGCGACCGGCCAAACUGGGACUGAGACACGGCCCAGACUCAUACGGGAGGCAGCAGUGGGGAAUAUUGCACAAUGGGCGAAAGCCUGAUGCAGCGACGCCGCGUGAGGGAUGACGGCCUUCGGGUUGUAAACCUCUUUCAGCAGGGAAGAAGCGAAAGUGACGGUACCUGCAGAAGAAGCGCCGGCUAACUACGUGCCAGCAGCCGCGGUAAUACGUAGGGCGCAAGCGUUGUCCGGAAUUAUUGGGCGUAAAGAGCUCGUAGGCGGCUUGUCGCGUCGGUUGUGAAAGCCCGGGGCUUAACCCCGGGUCUGCAGUCGAUACGGGCAGGCUAGAGUUCGGUAGGGGAGAUCGGAAUUCCUGGUGUAGCGGUGAAAUGCGCAGAUAUCAGGAGGAACACCGGUGGCGAAGGCGGAUCUCUGGGCCGAUACUGACGCUGAGGAGCGAAAGCGUGGGGAGCGAACAGGAUUAGAUACCCUGGUAGUCCACGCCGUAAACGGUGGGCACUAGGUGUGGGCAACAUUCCACGUUGUCCGUGCCGCAGCUAACGCAUUAAGUGCCCCGCCUGGGGAGUACGGCCGCAAGGCUAAAACUCAAAGGAAUUGACGGGGGCCCGCACAAGCGGCGGAGCAUGUGGCUUAAUUCGACGCAACGCGAAGAACCUUACCAAGGCUUGACAUACACCGGAAAGCAUCAGAGAUGGUGCCCCCCUUGUGGUCGGUGUACAGGUG
rnacentral:rRNA from 1 species